AUGUGAAAGACUUGAGAGAAAAAUUUGCUGGGAGAAGAUAUAUGUGAAGGAGGAGAAAGUCACUGGUGCUAAUCAGCAGUGGAAGUAGUUCAGUGUUCGCCGCUAGAUCGCGCCCAACUUAUGAUUGUCCUGUUCCUGGUUAGAUAGGUGUUUCAGAGUUUUUAUAUUCUAUAUUUAAAAAUAAUUCUGUCACGGGUAUUUCUCUGUUAUUUGACAGAGUGACAAGUGCCUGUUUGGAUGGUCAUAUAGUAGAUGCUAUAUUACAUUGUGACAAUAAUGUCAAAUAUAUUUGUUUUCUUGAAAAAAUUGUUUUUACAAUCCAGAAACAUAAAAUACGUUUCAGUAUUCAUUUACUCUGAAUACCCUCUGGGUUGAGUAUGUAUUCACUCUGAUCCCACUCUGAUCCCACUCUGAUCCCACUCUGGAAACAUUCUGGAAACACUUUGGUAUCAGUUUGUGUUCAAUGUGGAUGCAUAACGGUAGACACAUAUUAUUGAGGGUUUGUCAACGUCGCGGAAGCAGCUGAGAGAAAAAACAAAGAUAGAAAUACAUUAAUAAGAGAGUCGAGAUUAGAAAUGAAUUUUUCCCGUUUUAAUUUGAAUAUCGAUGUGUAAGAAGUUAGAACGCGCUGUUGCCAAAUCUUUUUAUUAAAUCAUAUGAGUCAAAAAUAACCAAGUAAUUUCAUUACUUUCAUUAAGUAAAUAAGUAAUAAAUAUCAAUUUACGAAUUCGUUAUGUUAUUAUAAAUUAAAAUAAUGAAUUUUUAUAACUAUAAGGAGAAUUUAGCAAACUAAAAAAUUCAAACACUACUUUGACUCACUAGUUUCGGUCGAACCUCCUUAAGUCAACAUAAAAAUGUUUAAUUUGUUAACACCCUGCUUAGAAAAUCCGAUAGAUUCUUAUAGGUGUAUGAAUAAAGCCGUAUACUCAACUAUAACACUUCUUACAGAACUCAUUGAUUCUUACAAAAUCUCUUUGGGUAUUUAUGAAAAUCUAUUGGAUUCUAUGAGAUUUUUUUAACAGGAUAUAAAGAUAACAUCCUGAAUCUUGUAUGUCAACAUCAAAAGUUUUCAAUUUGUUACCUUUUUGGUACCAAAGAACUAACUGCUAUUUGUCAACAAAACGUUACAAAUUGUUAUCAAAAAGUUACCAAAAUAGUGACAAAAAGUUGACAAAUUAUUACCAUAAAGUUAUUUUUUUGAAAUAUAAAAACGUUAAAUUUCUGCUGGACAUUAGUAGUGAUAUUUGUUGGAAUAAAUCUGCCUUUUUACAUCGCAAAAUAAAUAGUAACAUUUUUUUUGUUAACUUUUUCGGUACCAAAAAGCUGGCCACCUGCCCUAGUAGCAAUGGAAUUGGGCAAGAUUCUUUGGCAAGAUACUUGGAGAAGCACUUUGUAAAGAAUUGGACAAUUCUCGACCAAGACACUUGAUCAAGAUUCUUGAUUCAGACCGGCGGCAGACUUGGGCCAGUCUGUGAUCAGAAUUUGACCAGAUUCAUGACAUAGACUCGCACGAGAAACGCAAAAGACGACGAGCGCGCACCUAUUUCCCUCCUUUCCACCUGAAUGUGAAAAGUAUAGUUUUGCAGUGGUUCUCAUUUAUAGUCUAGUCAACAAGUUUAAAAAUGUUAUUUUUUUACAAUUACGCAUUCAGUUUGUAGUAAUGCCUAGACAAAUAGGUUUCCAGAAUUUUCUAGCACUUAAAAAAUUUCGGAAGUUUUUUAAUAGAUUAAGAUGAAUAAUUAAAAUUAUAAAUCAUGGGAAUAGAAUUCCGGAAGUUGUGACAAUUUUAUAGAAAAUUGCUUCUUCUUUAAUAAUCGUUUUUUAAUUUUACGCUUCCUUUAUUAAUUUUUGAGUUAUUGCUAAUUAUCAGAGUCUCUCGUUUUCUCUAUUUGAUUUUGACUAAAAUUGCUAUUUUUAUUCGUAAAAAAAAUGUAUUGACGACUUUGAUGAAGGAUUCAAUAAGCUGUCACUCGUAUUUGUGAAAAAAACUAGAUUCAUUUUUUACAGAGGACUCACUUCUCGACUACAGUAUUGUAAAUGAAACUAAUAUAGAAUGAGAACCUCUACUCUCUAGGAUAGUCCCAAAGUUUAGCAAUAGAUGGCUCCAGAUUUCUGGUCAAAUUCUUGACAAAUUCUGAGAUAGUAUACUAAGCUAUUGUAACGAACCUUAAGUCAAAACAGAAAAGUGUUUUUAAAAUAUAGUACUGUUAUUUAACGUUUAAGCA